rnacentral:ncRNA from 2 species
CUGACAUGCGUGCGAGUCGACGGGUUUUGAAACCUGGAAUACGCAAGGAAUCUGACAAGUGGCAGGCCCUCGCGGGCCAUACCUCUGGCCGCCCUGAUCUUCUGUGAAGGGUUCGAAUUGGAGUACGCAUGUCGGGACCCGAAAGAUGGUGAACUAUGCCUGAGCGGGGCGAAGCCAGAGGAAACUCUGGUGGAGGCUCGAAGCGAUACUGACGUACAAAUCGUUUGUCUGACUUGGGUAUAGGGAUGAGACCAAUCGAACCAUCUAGUAGCUGG